rnacentral:lncRNA from 1 species
GCUUCGAUAGAGAGUGCCUUCAACUGCACCCUUAAGAAGAUCCUCUCCUAACAUCUGUCGUUGAAAGAGGUCUUGGCCUCCACUUCACUCAUCAAGAUCAUAUGCCAUGUCCAGUCCUCCUCGAAUAACUAUAGAGACAUCCACCUCACCGCCGAUCACCUCAUUUUCGACCUGUCAUACUUCGGAUCCGAUAUCAUGAAUCGAGAGUCAUGGUAACCGCCGCAUACUUAUAAAAAAUUCUCUCUAUAAGCAAACAAGGUAUCUCAUCAUGAUAUCAAUACAUCACAGCAGAAUAAAAUUUAAAUAGUUAUUAUUCAACUUUAAUUCAAAUAACUAAAUCAAAUAUCUUACAUCCAAUAAAGUUUCACUAAAAAUAAUACAAAAAUAAAUCUAAGUUCAAUGAAGUUGACAAUGCUAAAUUUCGCCUCUCAAAGUUUUGUCCUAAUAUUAUUAUCCAUGCUCGCAAUUAAUUAUCUGAAUCUGAAAAAAAAUAAAAAGAGAGGUAAUGAGCUAGACAACUCAAUAAGUAAUAAAUAUCUCAACUAGAUAUUUCAAAUAUUAUAUAAUAUUCAAGAACAAUACUGUGGAUAAACAUAAAAAUAUAUUUUAUGUUUAUUCAAUGCAAAUCCAAUCUUUUCAGAUAUUUAUAUACAAUAUAAUCAUAAAUCUGAUUCAAAUCAAAACACUCAUAACUCAACAGCCAUAACUAUGAUCAACAUUUAACCCUCUAUUGGCGGGAUCCACUAAAUACCAGCACACAACCUCCACUGGUAGGAUCCACUAAAUACCAGCAUACAACUCCUACUGGUAGGAUCCACUGAGUACCAACGUAUAAUCUCCAUUGACAGGGUCCACUGAUUGCCAACAUAUAAUCCCCAUUGGUGGGGUCCACUGAAACAUAGUUAGGCUGAGAGCAUAAAUCCGAUCUGUAUCAACAUACUUUUGUAUCAUAACAUAUCAUAAUUUCUACUGAACAUAUGCAUAAUCAAUAAAUCAUAGUAUUUUAGAAUCACUUUUCAUUCAAAAUAUAAUUUCAUAAAUCAUACAUAAUUUUAAAAAAUAAUUAUUUAUUUUCAAAAUAAAUAUAAAAUAUCUCAAAAAAAUGAUUCACUACUUAUCUUUCACAGAUCACUAAGCU